GAACAAAAACGCCGCAAAAUUGAUACACACCAUUCUCCAUCAUAUUCCUCGACAGUAAAGGACAGUCUCAUCGAACUCAAGGAGUCUUCAGCAAAGCUCUACAUUAAUCAUGCUCCACCACUGUCCAAGAGUAAGGAGAGAGAAAUGGACAAGAAAGAUUUGGACAAGUCAAGGGAAAGAUCCAGAGAAAGAGAGAAAAAAGAUGAAAAGGACAGGAAAGAGCGGA